CCUACGGGAGGCAGCAGUGGGGAAUAUUGCGCAAUGGGCGAAAGCCUGACGCAGCGACGCCGCGUGAGGGAUGAAGGUCUUCGGAUCGUAAACCUCUGUCAGCAGGGAAGAACGGUCACUGGGCUAAUCAGCAGUGAAUUGACGGUACCUGCAAAGGAAGCACCGGCUAACUCCGUGCCAGCAGCCGCGGUAAGACGGAGGGGGCGAGCGUUAAUCGGAAUUACGGGGCGUAAAGCGCUCGUAGGCGGUAUGUCAAGUAAAGGGUGAAAUCCCCGCGCUCAACGUGGGAACUGCCUUUGCAACUGGCAACCUGGUGUGUGUGAGAGGCUAGUGGAAUUCCCGGUGU
rnacentral:rRNA from 1 species